rnacentral:rRNA from 1 species
GCUAUCAUACCAACGGUAAUGCAUCGGAUCCCAUCAGAACUCCGAAGUUAAGCGUGUUUGUACUAGAGUAGUACUAGGAUGGGUGACCCCUUCAGAAAUCCUCGUGUUGCACCUC